CAGACCUUUAAUUAAAUCCAGAGAGAUUUGAAAGGUCGCUUUAGGAAACGUGUUCUGAGUGAUAAGACACGUAAACCUCUUUGCGGCUUUUCGCAAAGAGGUUUUUUUGU
rfam:Lentibacillus amyloliquefaciens strain LAM0015, complete genome.